CUUGCUCAAGAUCCCUAUGUACCCUGGGCCUUCCAAAUUGCCUUCAUGCUUAUGUUCAGAGCUCUGCAGUGCCAGCAAAUGAGCAGCUAAGCCAUCGUAUGCAAUCACAUUUCUCCUGAAGAGCAGAUUCAGCUCCAGUCUACUCAAAUGCUCUUACUUGCUAAUGUAAACCACAACGCAUGUCUUGUCCUCUGUAAAACAUGGAACCUGGCUUCCUCUUUCCUCAAGCAGGCUCCAUCGUGUUCUCCUUUCUGACCAGAAGUGUUCUCUGCACUUCAGUCUUCUUUCCAAACUACAAGCGGACCCUUUGAGUGUCUGUCUCCAUAUGCCUAACUAUCUGUCCUGGUUAAGGAAUUGAUGUAUCACUGAAGGACUUAUGCUCCUAUGAGGUGAAACUCAGCUUAUUUUUUCAAAGUAAUACUGAUAGCAAUGUGCCUAUUCCCUUCUUCAUGGAACUUCCUUACCAGAAUCAGUUGAUUGUGGUUUGCAGUGUGUAAGAAGAUGGGUGUGGAGACAGAUGUCAAUGCAAAGCUGAGUAGGAAGGAAAAGGAGAUCCUAAUGAUUUGCACGCUGCAAGCUUCAUGCUGAAAGAAACAUGAAUGAAGCUGUUCGCAGGCAGAGAAGAGGCUUUCCUGUUAUCUUCAUCACAAACUAACUAGGAUGGAGUGAAAUAUCCCUUCUCUGAAAAUUAACAGGCUAUGGCUAAUUUGUUGCACACAAGAAGAGGCUCAGACUCACCUACUUGGGCCCUCUUCUUGUGGCCAUCAUUCAAACAAGAAAAGUGACCUUGAACCAGUUAAGGCUUUAGCUCUGUUAUUGCUGCCAGGUGGAGUGAAUGCUAGAUUUGCCUUCAAUCUCCUCAGCAAAAUGUGAGCAAGUUUCAGACAGGAAGAUGCUAAGACUGUAUACUGGUGCUCAUGCCAUAAAUCAGCUAGGGAUAAUGAAGUCACGGAAGCUCAGGGGCUCUGGAGGUCUCCUUACCUCUCACCCAAGAACUUCACAAACUCCUUGCUGCUUCCUUGCCUGGUGCUGCGGUGUCCUAAUGAGGCAUCUAUGGAGUUCUAAGGAGGAACUUUGGCACCAUCAGCAAACCUCCUGCACCCAGCACCUUCCUGGUACCUCCCUCCCUCUUUGUUUAGUUUCAAGGCUUCUGAGUGCCAGAUAGCUGGGAUGGGGUAUCUCAGGAACAACUUUAACCAAAAGAGAAGCCUCAUGUCUCAGACCAGUGUUCUUGCUGGUCUAUCUUUGCAGUAGACUGUGGGAAUCAAGUUCUACCUCUUUUAUUCGCGUAGACAGUAGAGACAAAGCUGCCAGAAAGGAAGAAGUGGAUGCAGCAGUUACAGCUGAAGCAGGGAGUCCAGGUGCCUUGUCAGAAUGGGAAGGGAGCAGGAAGGAAGAGGCUAUACCAUGACCUCUUCAGUUUUCAGUCUUCCCAGAGACAGCUGCCUUGUUUGAGGCUGAGGGGACUUACUGCUGUGCAACACUCUCUCAGACUGAUAUAUUCUCAGCUUCCUUAAAUAGAACCAGUUAUUUUAU
rnacentral:lncRNA from 1 species